rnacentral:rRNA from 1 species
UACGUAGGGGGCUAGCGUUGUCCGGAUUUAUUGGGCGUAAAGAGCGUGUAGGCGGCCAGAUAGGUCUGCUGUGAAAACUCGAGGCUCAACCUCGAGAUGUCGGCGGAAACCAUUUGGCUAGAGUCCGGAAGAGGAAAGUGGAAUUCCUGGUGUAGCGGUGAAAUGCGCAGAUAUCAGGAGGAACACCUGCGGCGAAGGCGGGUUGCUGGGCUGAUACUGCGCUGAGGCGCGAAAGCCGGGGAGCGAACGGGG